AGUGAACGCUGGCGGUAGGCCUAACACAUGCAAGUCGAACGGCAGCACAGUAAGAGCUUGCUCUUACGGGUGGCGAGUGGCGGACGGGUGAGGAAUACAUCGGAAUCUACUUUUUCGUGGGGGAUAACGUAGGGAAACUUACGCUAAUACCGCAUACGACCUACGGGUGAAAGCAGGGGAUCUUCGGACCUUGCGCGAUUGAAUGAGCCGAUGUCGGAUUAGCUAGUUGGCGGGGUAAAGGCCCACCACGGCGACGAUCCGUAGCUGGUCUGAGAGGGUGAUCAGCCACACUGGAACUGAGACACGGUCCAGACUCCUACGGGAGGCAGCAGUGGGGAAUAUUGGACAAGGGGCGCAAGCCUGAUCCAGCCAUACCGCGUGGGUGAAGAAGGCCUUCGGGUUGUAAAGCCCUUUUGUUGGGAAAGAAAAGCAGCAGGUUAAUACCCCGCUGUUCUGACGGUACCCAAAGAAUAAGCACCGGCUAACUUCGUG
rnacentral:rRNA from 1 species